rnacentral:rRNA from 1 species
UGGUGGAGUGAUUUGUCUGGUUGAUUCCGUUAACGAGCGAGAUCUCUGCCUCCCAAUAGUCCUCUUUCUCGCCCUUGUAGGGCUCAGUUCUGGACCAGGGGCCUCCCCUGACCAGGUCAACUGGCCUGAGAGCUAAGAGUCUGCUCUUUUUGGAUUGAUUGACUGGGGCAUUGCAACAAAGAAAAGUGCUAGCAAGUUGGAGUCGACAGCA